ensembl:lncRNA
GGAAAAUGUCGCCAAAUUUACACAUUAACUUUAAAAUGGCUGACUUCCUGUUGGAUUUGGGAUAUUGCUCCAAGAGACUUUUUUGUACAUCUUGAUAUCUCCAAUAAGCUUGCCAGGUUUCAAACUCAUACAUAAAACACAGAGCAGGGGCUGUUGUUUUGAAAUUUUGUAGGGGGCGCUGUGGAGCCAUUUUGCGCUGUUCAAGGAAAAGGAACAUAUAAAAAGAAAUCCCUCAUCACAUUAGAGGUGUGCGCCAAAUUUCAAGACUUUUUAAACUUUUCAAGCCCCUCAAAAGCCACUUCAUCUUUCAUGGUGAACUGCGUUGCCACCAGGGUGCGCCGUUCAGUUUAUAGUCACAAUUUUCUCACUGAAGCAUCAAGAGGGACUGAUGGUGAUAUUCACCGCUUUUGAGGUGGCCACGAUGAACCUGUGAAAAUCAGUACAACAAAAUGAAAGACAUGAC